rnacentral:rRNA from 1 species
UCCAGACUCCUACGGGAGGCAGCAGUGGGGGAUAUUGGACAAUGGGGGGAACCCUGAUCCAGCGACGCCGCGUGAGUGAAGAAGUAUCUCGGUAUGUAAAGCUCUAUCAGCAGGGAAGAAAGAAAUGACGGUACCUGACUAAGAAGCCCCGGCUAACUACGUGCCAGCAGCCGCGGUAAUACGUAGGGGGCAAGCGUUAUCCGGAUUUACUGGGUGUAAAGGGAGCGUAGACGGCCAUUCAAGCCAGAUGUGAAAGCCCGGGGCUCAACCCCGGGACUGCAUUUGGAACUGUGUGGCUAGAGUGUCGGAGGGGCAGGCGGAAUUCCUAGUGUAGCGGUGAAAUGCGUAGAUAUUAGGAGGAACACCAGUGGCGAAGGCGGCCUGCUGGACGAUGACUGACGUUGAGGCUCGAAAGCGUGGGGAGCAAACAGGAUUAGAUACCCGUGUA